rnacentral:rRNA from 1 species
CCUACGGGAGGCAGCAGUGGGGAAUCUUGCGCAAUGGGCGAAAGCCUGACGCAGCCAUGCCGCGUGAAUGAUGAAGGUCUUAGGAUUGUAAAAUUCUUUCAGUAGGGACGAUAAUGACGGUACCUACAGAAGAAGCCCCGGCUAACUUCGUGCCAGCAGCCGCGGUAAUACGAAGGGGGCUAGCGUUGCUCGGAAUUACUGGGCGUAAAGGGAGCGUAGGCGGGUUAUCAAGUUGGAGGUGAAAGCCCAGGGCUCAACCUUGGAAUUGCCUUCAAAACUGAUAGCCUAGAGUAUGAUAGAGGUAAGUGGAACUCCGAGUGUAGAGGUGAAAUUCGUAGAUAUUCGGAAGAACACCAGUGGCGAAGGCGACUUACUGGAUCAUGACUGACGCUGAGGCUCGAAAGCGUGGGGAGCAAACAGGAUUAGAUACCCUGGUAGUCCACGCUGUAAACGAUGAUUGCUAGUUGUCGGACGGCAUGCCGUUCGGUGACGCAGCUAACGCAUUAAGCAAUCCGCCUGGGGGAGUACGUCGCAGAUAACUACAAGAAGUAGAGCGNGAGAGNGCGACGACGACGACGAGGAGAG